GUCUUCUUGGUGGAGUUGGUUACCACGUGAGUCUCAUAUUAAAUUGUGAUGGCGGAUAACUGCCAAGUGAUCUCAAGGUCGCCAGUUCGAUCCUGGCAGAGGACA